AGUGAACGCUGGCGGUAGGCCUAACACAUGCAAGUCGAACGGCAGCACAGUAAGAGCUUGCUCUUACGGGUGGCGAGUGGCGGACGGGUGAGGAAUACAUCGGAAUCUACUUUUUCGUGGGGGAUAACGUAGGGAAACUUACGCUAAUACCGCAUACGACCUACGGGUGAAAGCAGGGGAUCUUCGGCCCUUGCGCGAUUGAAUGAGCCGAUGUCGGAUUAGCUAGUUGGCGGGGUAAAGGCCCACCAAGGCGACGAUCCGUAGCUGGUCUGAGAGGAUGAUCACCCACACUGGAACUGAAAAACGGUCCAGCCCCCUAGGGGGGGCAGCAGGGGGAAAUUUUGGCAAAUGGGGGCAAGCCUGACCCAGCCAUCCCGGGGGGGGGAAGAAGGCCUUCGGGUUGUAAAGCCUUUUUUUGGGGAAAAAAAAGCAGCAGGUUAAAACCCCGCUUUUCUGAGGGUACCAAAAAAAUAAGCACCGGCUAACUUCGU
rnacentral:rRNA from 1 species